rnacentral:rRNA from 1 species
CCCUUAGAUGUUCUGGGCCGCACGCGCGCUACACUGACGGAUUCAUCGAGCUUACAACCUUGGCCGAAAGGUCUGGGUAAUCUCCAAAAUCCGUCGUGAUGGGGAUAGAUUAUUGCAAUUAUUAAUCUUCAACGAGGAAUGCCUAGUAAGCGCAAGUCAUCAGCUUGCGUUGAUUACGUCCCUGCCCUUUGUACACACCGCCCGUCGCUCCUACCGAUUGAAUGGUCCGGUGAAGCGUUUGGACUAUGGUUUUCUGAUGGUCCGCCGUUGGAUUACCGUGGGAAGUUCGUUAAACCUUAUCAUUUAGAGGAAGGAGAAGUCGUAACA